AAGAAAAAACUGGCUAUAAAAUGGGGCUGCUAACCUUAUUUUGGGUGGUUCAAUUCCAUCCUUUUUCUU
rnacentral:tRNA from 1 species